AGCAGCCGCGGUAAUUCCAGCUCCAAUAGCGUAUAUUAAAGUUGUUGCAGUUAAAAAGCUCGUAGUUGAAUUUCGGGAUUGGCGCAUCGGUCGUGCCUUACGGGGUAUGAACUGGUGCAGUCAAUUUCUCACCUUCUGGAGAACCGCGAUGUCCUUAAUUGGGUGCCGCGGGGAACCAGGACCUUUACUUUGAAAAAAUUAGAGUGUUUAAAGCAGGCAUUUUUGCUUGAAUACAUUAGCAUGGAAUAAUAAAAUAGGACGGCAUGGUUCUAUUUUGUUGGUUUCUAGGACCACCGUAAUGAUUAAUAGGGAUAGUUGGGGGCAUUAGUAUUCAAUUGUCAGAGGUGAAAUUCUUGGAUUUAUUGAAGACUAACUACUGCGAAAGCAUUUGCCAAGGAUGUUUUCAUUAAUCAAGAACGAAAGUUAGGGGGUCGAAGACGAUCAGAUACCGUCGUAGUCUUAACCAUAAACUAUGCCGACUAGGAAUCAGACGAUGUUAAUUUUUUCAAUGACUCGUUUG
rnacentral:rRNA from 1 species